rnacentral:rRNA from 1 species
AUGCCGGAUGCUCCAGUUGAUCGCAUGGUCUUCUGGGAAAGCUUUCGCGGUAUGGGAUGGGGUCGCGUCCUAUCAGCUUGACGGCGGGGUAACGGCCCACCGUGGCUUCGACGGGUAGCCGGCCUGAGAGGGCGACCGGCCACAUUGGGACUGAGAUACGGCCCAGACUCCUACGGGAGGCAGCAGUGGGGAAUAUUGCACAAUGGGCGCAAGCCUGAUGCAGCGACGCCGCGUGAGGGAUGGAGGCCUUCGGGUUGUAAACCUCUUUUAUCGGGGAGCAAGCGAGAGUGAGUUUACCCGUUGAAUAAGCACCGGCUAACUACGUGCCAGCAGCCGCGGUAAUACGUAGGGUGCAAGCGUUAUCCGGAAUUAUUGGGCGUAAAGGGCUCGUAGGCGGUUCGUCGCGUCCGGUGUGAAAGUCCAUCGCUUAACGGUGGAUCCGCGCCGGGUACGGGCGGGCUUGAGUGCGGUAGGGGAGACUGGAAUUCCCGGUGUAACGGUGGAAUGUGUAGAUAUCGAAAA